AUGUUGAUGGAGCGACGAGGAGGAUGUUGAUGGAGGGACGAGGAAGAUGUUGAUGGAGCGACGAGGAUGUUGAUGGAGCGACGAGGAUGCUGAUGGAGGGACGAGGAAGAUGCUGAUGGAGGGACGAGGAGGAUGCUGAUGGAGGGACGAGAGGAUGCUGAUGGAGCGACGAGGAGGACAAACAAAAUAAGAGCUAGCAAACGAUUUUUAAGAAAUCUUGGAUUUUGAAAGAGCAAAGAUGUUUUACAAACACAGAUACGCUAUUGUAUUUGGCGUAUUCUUUUACUAUAACUUAGAGAGUUCCCUCGCUCUCUAAUUUAGAAAAGAAUUCUGUGGUAAAGUAUUUCAAAGUAGGCUUCUGCCACCUAUUUUGGAAUAGUGUUGUACAAAUUUCCAUUAAGUAAUGAUUUUAUAAUGAUAAUGUUGCUUUGAAAAGCGUAAAUGCCGUGACAAAUAAAAACACCCAUCGGUAGUUUUCAAAGAACUGUCAAUAUAAGAUAUGCAUAUGUAUUUAAUUGAACAUGGCCACCAUGUCACCAUGCAAGUGUCAGCCUUCGAUAAUUGUGUCUCGAAAAACGCUUUUCAAUGCAAUAUGAAAAUUUGUCAUCACAACGCGUACAAAAUCGCUGUUUUGUAAUAAUAAAUUUUGAUGUUUGGGGCUGUCUUCACUUAACCGAAGCUAAAGAGUGUUUGCAUUUGACGUAAAGAGGCCAUGUUAGUAGAGUAUAUCAAAGUGCCGAUGCUCAACAGAGCAUAGAAUUAGCAGAAAUUCUAUUCACUAUAUGGGAUUUUCUUCCUACUGAUGAAAACAUUCUAGAGGAAGAAACAAUGAGGUGCUAAAUGAUUUUUGCAUCAGCUGGCAAUCCAUUUAGGAUUUUUCACAGUAUUUUUUUAAGUGCACGAACAUUUAUAUAAAACGUACAAAAUGAUACACUGCGCAACAAAUAUAAAAUUGAAUGUCGCAGUUUUGCCCUCUAUGGUUGUUAAACCUAAAGUCAUGGACGAGCAGGAACAAUAUGUUACUUUGUCCUACAACGUAUAUUCUUAUGAAAUUCUUUUUUUCUCAUAUUCUGGUACAUUUAAUGGGGAAUGAAAUAUAUUUUAAAAUAUACAUUGUAUGAAAGAUUAUACAAGUUGACAGAA